GACGGAGGAUGCAAGUGUUAUCCGGAAUCACUGGGCGUAAAGCGUCUGUAGGUGGUCAAAUAAGUCAACUGUUAAAUCUUGAGGCUCAACCUCGAGGCUGCUCCCGAAACUGUUCGCCUAGGGACUGGUAGAGGCUGGUAGAAUUCCCGGUGUAGCGGUGGAAUGCGUAGAGAUCGGGAAGAAUACCUGUGGCGAAGGCGGCCAGCUGGGCCAGAUCCGACACUGAGGCGCGAAAGCGUGGGGAGCAAACAGG
rnacentral:rRNA from 1 species